CCUACGGGUGGCUGCAGUUAGGAAUCUUGCGCAAUGGGCGAAAGCCUGACGCAGCCAUGCCGCGUGAAUGAUGAAGGUCUUAGGAUUGUAAAAUUCUUUCAGCAGGGAAGAUAAUGACGGUACCUGCAGAAGAAGCUCCGGCUAACUUCGUGCCAGCAGCCGCGGUAAUACGAAGGGGGCUAGCGUUGCUCGGAAUUACUGGGCGUAAAGGGCGCGUAGGCGGAUGACUAAGUCGGGGGUGAAAGCCCGGGGCUCAACCUCGGAACUGCCUUCGAUACUGGUCAUCUUGAGUACGGGAGAGGUGUGUGGAACUCCGAGUGUAGAGGUGAAAUUCGUAGAUAUUCGGAAGAACACCAGUGGCGAAGGCGACACACUGGCCCGUUACUGACGCUGAGGCGCGAAAGCGUGGGGAGCAAACAGGAUUAGAUACCCCUGUAGUC
rnacentral:rRNA from 1 species